UCAUUGCACUAACAGGUUCUACUUUUAUGGAUAGUAUCAGCGACUGUAGUCGGUAAACUGCAGCACAGAGGACACGAAAACGCCCUUUCCAGUUUGAAUAUGCAUUGAUUAAUCAUAUGAUGUACUAUCCUAACUCUGGUGAACAACAUGGAAAAACGAAUCUACGAGAUAUAGAUGUUCUAUAAAGUUAUUGAUUCUUGAACCUUAUUUAGCCCUCAAAAAAACCAACUAUCAAUCAGUCGAAGUGUUUUCAAGAGGAAUUUAUAAUAUAGUCAGUCGUUUCCAGUGAAAGAAGUGUUAUGUACGUCGUUAGUAUUCGGUUUCCCUAAACGACACUUUUUACCGCAUCAAAAGAUAUCAAUCACAACCAAAGGUAUAAAUAGUAAUAAUCUUGAGCGUAAAUGUGAGCUAAUCAUGACGUUUUAUAAAGCAUGACACCUUUGAUAAAGUAACACCAUUAUUCUAACGUAUAUUUCACCUUACUUCCGACGUUAAUUAUAGAAAAUCUAAAGCCUUAAUCAAAAUUCUAAAAAUGCCAUAUCCUAUUCCUAUCCCUUUUUACACCUUGCUAAAAAUGGCGAGGUUUCGACUCCAUUUGUGAGCUGAAAUUGGUGUUACCAGAGGGUCAGUUUUUGGUCGAUUUUCAAUGUUUUUUCUUCCCCGUUGCCGGGCGAAUUUUGUCAAGUUUAAAAUAUAAUAUAAAUGUGUUUUUGUUAAAACUAAAUUUUAAAUUUUGAAUAUAUAUCUUACUAUAUAUGUAUAAAUCGAGACGAUAUAGAUAUCUAGUGUAUAGAUAUAUAUGUAUGCGUAUGGUUUUGUAAAUUCGGACACACCCGUACAGGGGGAGAAGGUGGUAUAAAAAGUCUGCAAUUAUGGCGGACGUCCUAAGUAGAUGUCCCCUUUACAAGCAAACGAGCAUGUAUACCAUUUGAAAUGUGAAGAGAUUCAACGAGAACUGUUAGGUCAUCUCAAUAAUGUACCAGUUUAUCGAUUGGAAUGAUUUCAUCGAUUGAGAAUAACAAACAACGUUUCUCUAAAAGGGCUACGUGAUUUUGAUAUUUUAAAUCUAUAUUAUAAGGAUACAUUUUUGGCAAUCAUUUUAUGUCCUUGAUCCAGGAACCAGUUAUGAAAUGGAACGCGCGAGUACAUUCUCUGCUGGGUUUUUUUUACAGUGACGCGCGUGACGUGACGUGCGCGCAAAUUAAAUUUAUAAAUAUUAUUUAUAUAAUAUAUGGCCGGGUACAAUAUACAUAAUACAGUACAUAAUAUAUAAUACGUUUUGAUCUUCUAGAUUUCUGUCACAUGCAGUAAACUAAAAUAUAUCUGAACGCUUUCUAACAAUAUUUUCGUUUAGUGGUGAACAGAAUCGAACCUUAACCUACUGCAUGCGAAGCCAAAGUACCCACCACUAUCCCACACAGAUAUCACUGCCUCAAUACGUAUUGAGGCAGUUGAGGCAGUUGAGGCACCAAUUUGAGGCACUAAUGAUAAGUCUUGAGGCACCUUUUCAAGGCACCAGCAUUUGUCCGCUGAUAACUGUAGUAGACCUAUGGUAACACGUUGGAAUUCUUACUCAUUAUUCAUUUACAUUCUGGCUUUCUGGUUUUACUUUUAGGGAAGAAAAUUAAAAUGAUAGAAAAUUCAUUUACUUAUUCAGGGUAAAAUUUCUGAAAGGGCUUUUAAUUAAGUUAGUUUCAAUAAAAACUUGACUGGAGAUUUGGCUUCCUUAAGUGUCCCGAAUGUUUUAGUUUUCCCAGACCCAUAUGUAUCAUUAUUAUUAUGCUAUAUAUAAUAAAUAUAUACAGGGUGGGCCAAAAGUCAGUGACCAUACGUUGGGUCUUAUACCUCCACAUCAUUAUAUACAAUCCGUAUCAUGAUAUGUAUAAAACAAUACCAAUCAUCAGUGCCCUGAUGGUGACCAGUGGUGGUACUGGUAGUAUUUUAUACCAGAAAGAAUUAUUUUAAUUUUGCACUCAGUGACCGAGCUGAUAAGGCCAACGUAUGGGUACUAACUUUGCCCCCCCCCCCCCCCCCCCCCUGUAUCACUCCAGCAACCAUUCGAUUAAAUUUGCUGUUUUUGUUACAUCUUUAAGAACAUUCGCUCACUGGUUAUAAUACUUUCCAAAACUUCAAGUUACUUCAAAUUCAUCGUAGCAACUUACUGACAGAUAGAAAUUUUUAACUUGGCAGUACCGUAUAUUCAAUCAAUUAAAAUUAUACUUCUAUUUAAUUAAUUAUAUAAACUUGUUAUUUCUUGUGUUCGACAAAGUGCUAACAAAUAUAAACUAUUUAUAAGUGUUACAUACUUCGUAUUGUAUCUAUAGUUUAUACAGUAUACCAUGUUUUUAUUAUUGAUGUGAUUAUUAUAUUGUAUUCUUUGACUUCA